AGUCUGGUGCCAGCAGCCGCGGUAAUUCCAGCUCUAAUAGCGUAUAUUAAAGUUGUUGCAGUUAAAAAGCUCGUAGUUGGAUUUCGGCGUGCGCUCAGGCUGGUCGGCCGUCAUGGUCUGUACCGUUUGGGUCACGCCCCACUGUAGGAUACUCACCGCUGUCCUUAACUGGGUGGCGGUCAAAGGUUGCAGUGCAUGGGGGCAACUCUGUCGCUGCCGCUGGGGUUCCUACUCUUUUACUUUGAGCAAAUUAGAGUGUUCAAAGCAGGCAAUCGAGCCUUGAAUACUUCAGCAUGGGAUAAUGGAACAGGACUGGGAUCCUGAUUUCGUUGGUUUCUAGGGUCUUAGUAAUGAUUAAUAGGGAUAGUUGGGGGCAUUAGUAUUUAAUUGUCAGAGGUGAAAUUCUUGGAUUUAUGAAAGACUAACUUCUGCGAAAGCAUUUGCCAAGGAUGUUUUCAUUAAUCAAGAACGAAAGUUAGGGGAUCGAAGACGAUCAGAUACCGUCGUAGUCUUAACCAUAAACGAUGCCGACCAGCGAUUGGGAGACGUUAUAUAUAUGACUCCCCCAGCAGCUUGCGAGAAAUCACAAGUCUUUGGGUUCCGGGGGGAGUAUGGUCGCAAGGCUGAAACUUAAAGGAAUUGACGGAAGGGCACCACCAGGAGUGGAGCCUGCGGCUUAAUUUGACCCAACACGGGGAAACUUACCAGGUCCAGACAUAGUAAGGAUUGACAGAUUUGAGAGCUCUUUCUUGAUUCUAUGGGUGGUGGUGCAUGGCCGUUCUUAGUUGGUGGAGUGAUUUGUCUGGUUAAUUCUGUUAACGAACGAGACCUUAACCUGCUAAAUAUGUCACUGAUAGACUUCUACCAAAACAGGUGGGUGUUUAGGGCAAAGUUUCGAUGGAGUCCGACGCAUUCAUCUGUGGAUGACUAUCAGGAUGUACUUCUUAGAGGGACUAUCUGUAUCAAAGCAGAUGGAAGUUUGAGGCAAUAACAGGUCUGUGAUGCCCUUAGAUGUUCUGGGCCGCACGCGCGCUACACUGAUAAGUUCAACGAGUUUAACACCUUGCUCGAUAGGGCUGGGUAAUCUUUGAAAAACUUAUCGUGAUGGGGAUAGAUCAUUGUAAUUAUUGGUCUUCAACGAGGAAUUCCUAGUAAGCGUGAGUCAUCAGCUCGCGUUGAUUACGUCCCUGCCCUUUGUACACACCGCCCGUCGCUCCUACCGAUUGAAUGAUGAGGUGAAAUGUUGGGAGCCGGGGCUUUUUGACGGCGGGGCAACUCGUCGCCAGAGGUUCUGCAAACUUCAUUAAACCUUUUCAUUUAGAGGAAGGAGAAGUCGUAACGAGGUUUCCGUAGGUGAACCUGCGGAAG
rnacentral:rRNA from 1 species